rnacentral:rRNA from 1 species
GAGUUUGAUCCUGGCUCAGAUUGAGCGCUGGCGGCAUGCCUUACACAUGCAAGUCGAACGGUAACAGGUCUUCGGAUGCUGACGAGUGGCGAACGGGUGAGUAUUACAUCGGAACGUGCCCAGACGUGGGGGGAUAACGAGGCGAAAGCUUUGCUAAUACCGCAUACGAUCUAAGGAUGAAAGCAGGGGACCGCAAGGCCUUGCGCGUUUGGAGCGGCCGAUGGCAGAUUAGGUAGUUGGUGGGAUAAAAGCUUACCAAGCCGACGAUCUGUAGCUGGUCUGAGAGGACGACCAGCCACACUGGGACUGAGACACGGCCCAGACUCCUACGGGAGGCAGCAGUGGGAAUUUGGACAAUGGGCGAAAGCCUGAUCCAGCAAUCGCCGCGUGCGAGGAUAGAACGGUCCGUUCGGGUUACGGUUAAACG